CCUACGGGAGGCUGCAGUGGGGGAUAUUGCACAAUGGGGGGAACCCUGAUGCAGCGACGCCGCGUGGGUGAAGAAGCGCCUCGGCGCGUAAAGCCCUGUCAGCAGGGAAGAAAAUGACGGUACCUGAAGAAGAAGCCCCGGCUAACUACGUGCCAGCAGCCGCGGUAAUACGUAGGGGGCAAGCGUUAGCCGGAUUUACUGGGUGGAAAGGGGGCGCUGACGGGGAUGCAAGCCCGGAGGGAAAGCCCGGGGCCCAACCCCGGGACUGCUCUUUGAACUGCGUGGCUUGAGUGCAGGAGGGGCAGGCGGAAUUCCUGGUGUAGCGGGGAAAUGCGUAGAGAUCAGGAGGAACACCGGUGGCGAAGGCGGCCUGCUGGACUGCAACUGACGUUGAGGCCCGAAAGCGUGGGGAGCAAACAGGAGUAGAUACCCCAGUAGUC
rnacentral:rRNA from 1 species